CAGAGCAGGAAGCAGGUGGCAACCAAGACAGACUCCAAGACUUCAAGGCAGCAUAAAUUGAAAAAGAUCCAGAAAUUCACAGCUUCCCAGUGGGAAGAAAAUCUCAGAAUGGGUUGCUCUGAAGCUAACCUGACAAACUUUUCAAGACUCCCUGUGGGAUGGGCCCAGGAAUAUAUACUCUGGUCAAUGAACAGAAGUCUUCAACAGAUCUUCAAACAUCUGGAAUGCACAAGGUCAGGGAAGGUAGUUUCUGGGUGGGGGUUGAAAGUGAUGGAAGUUUUUGGUAUUUUUUUUUUUUAGGUAAACUCUACCCCCAAUGUGGGGCGCAAACUCACAGUCCCGAGAUCAAAAAUUCCAUGCUAUACUGACUGAGGCAGCCAGGUACCCCCAAGCUGGUAGAACUUUUAAGAGAGAGGAAGGAAGGGACUGAAGGGAGGAAGGGUUAUAGAGAGGGAAGGAGGGGAGGGAAAGAGAGAGGGAAAAGAGAGAUUGUUAGUUGGUUGGUUGGUUAGUUUUGAUAGUGGGGAUAAAUUCUGAGUUCAAAGGUUUAAGAACAACUGGUUUAUGAAUCAUUUCUGAUUGCAGUGGAGACAAUGGCCUCCCUUUCCUCCUGGUAGAGGAAUUCUUUCUAUAAGUAAUUGAAGUUGGAGGGAUCCCUGGGUGGCGCAGCGGUUUGGCGCCUGCCUUUGGCCCGGGGCGCGAUCCUGGAGACCCAGGAUCGAAUCCC